AGUGAACGCUGGCGGUAGGCCUAACACAUGCAAGUCGAACGGCAGCACAGUAAGAGCUUGCUCUUACGGGUGGCGAGUGGCGGACGGGUGAGGAAUACAUCGGAAUCUACUUUUUCGUGGGGGAUAACGUAGGGAAACUUACGCUAAUACCGCAUACGACCUACGGGUGAAAGCAGGGGAUCUUCGGACCUUGCGCGAUUGAAUGAGCCGAUGUCGGAUUAGCUAGUUGGCGGGGUAAAGGCCCACCAAGGCGACGAUCCGUAGCUGGUCUGAGAGGAUGAUCAGCCACACUGGAACUGAGACACGGUCCAGACUCCUACGGGAGGCAGCAGUGGGGAAUAUUGGACAAUGGACGCAAGCCUGAUCCAGCCAUACCGCGUGGGUGAAGAAGGCCUUCUGGUUGUAAAGCCCUUUUGUUGGGAAAGAAAAGCAGCAGGUUAAUACCCCGCUGUUCUGACGGUACCCAAAGAAUAAGCACCGGCUAACUUCGUG
rnacentral:rRNA from 1 species